GACGUAGGGCGCGAGCGUUGUCCGGAAUUAUUGGGCGUAAAGAGCGUGUAGGCGGCCCGAUUAGUCCGCUGUGAAAGUCCAGGGCUCAACCCUGGAAUGCCGGUGGAUACUGUCAGGCUAGAGUCCGGAAGGGGCGAGUGGAAUUCCUGGUGUAGCGGUGAAAUGCGCAGAUAUCAGGAGGAACACCAGUGGCGAAGGCGGCUCACUGGCCCGAUACUGACGCUGAGGCACGAAAGCGUGGGGAGCAAACAGG
rnacentral:rRNA from 1 species